rnacentral:rRNA from 1 species
AUUGAACGCUGGCGGACAGGCCUAACACAUGCAAGUCGAACGGUAGCACAGAGGAGCUUGCUCCUUGGGUGACGAGUGGCGGACGGGUGAGUAAUGUCUGGGAAACUGCCCGAUGGAGGGGGAUAACUACUGGAAACGGUAGCUAAUACCGCAUAACGUCGCAAGACCAAAGAGGGGGACCUUCGGGCCUCUUGCCAUCGGAUGUGCCCAGAUGGGAUUAGCUAGUAGGUGGGGUAACGGCUCACCUAGGCGACGAUCCCUAGCUGGUCUGAGAGGAUGACCAGCCACACUGGAACUGAGACACGGUCCAGACUCCUACGGGAGGCAGCAGUGGGGAAUAUUGCACAAUGGGCGCAAGCCUGAUGCAGCCAUGCCGCGUGUAUGAAGAAGGCCUUCGGGUUGUAAAGUACUUUCAGCGAGGAGGAAGGCGUUGUGGUUAAUAACCGCAACGAUUGACGUUACUCGCAGAAGAAGCACCGGCUAACUCCGUGCCAGCCGCCGCGGUAAAAGGG